rnacentral:rRNA from 1 species
UACAGAGGGGGCAAGCGUUGUUCGGAAUUACUGGGCGUAAAGGGCGCGUAGGCGGCCUUCUAAGUCGAACGUGAAAUCCCCGGGCUCAACCCGGGAACUGCGUCCGAGACUGGAAGGCUCGAAUCCGGGAGAGGGAUGUGGAAUUCCAGGCGUAGCGGUGAAAUGCGUAGAUAUCUGGAGGAACAUCGGUGGCGAAGGCGGCAUCCUGGACCGGUAUUGACGCUGAGGCGCGAAAGCCAGGGGAGCAAACGGG